UCUCUCGUAGCUUAGUGGUCAAAGCAUUGGCGCGUAAAGCCAAAGAGCCCGGGUUCGAUUUCCGGCGAGGGCG
rfam:Agrilus planipennis Contig56608, whole genome shotgun sequence.